UCCGAGACCGCCUUUUAUUUGCUUCAAUGUGGUAAUAAAUCUACUGUUCCACGUUAGUGAGGGCCUACUUAAGUAGAAUUCGGGCACAACCACAUUGUAGUUUAAUUCUAUGUAAAUGAAUGAAGUUACCUAAUAUUGGUAUCUAAUCCAUAUCCAUAAUUAGGUAACUAUUAAAAUAAAUUACAACUUCCUAAGCAAGGCAGUAGGUCAGACGCAAAGAGUUCACAAGUUAUCAGCUGUUCUGUGCGAAGUUCUCAAUGAGAUCUGACAGCAGCGAGUGUUGUCUCUGGCUGAAAACACGCGUUCACGAAAAAAGAAGUUGAUGACAGAACAGAACAAAAGAAAAUUUCGGCCAUGACUCAAUCAAAAUUACACGUAAAAAUAAAGUCUAAAAUAUGAUCACAGCAAUCAACACGAUGUAGUGAGCUGCCCGCACACAGACUGCGAAAACCAAACAAAUAUGAAUAAUUCCGGCGCUGGCAUCUGGUGGCUGCUCUGUCUACUAAUACAGGUGGUCGGCGCUCUUGCCUGCAAGAAAAAGCCGUCGUGCCGCCCGCCGCGCUGCCCCGGCGGCUGCAAGCCCAAGUACUGGUGACCUGCACGAGACACACUUCUACACGGAGGAAAAAUACGUGCGAGGAAACCGAAGAAUAUUAUGUGGUACGAGUUGGCCGCGUCGCUGUGGUGGUGGGUGCUCUGCCUCGUGGUGGGCGCGAGCGGCUGCAAGAAGAAGACCAUCUGCCGCCCGCCGCCCGGCGGCAAGCCCGGCUGCGGCGGCCGCGGCCGCCCGUGACGUCACGCGCCAGCCGACGCUCAGCUGCACCAAGCCCUUACGCGUGGUGUUCUCCGCCUGGCUUUCUGUUCCAGUGCAACAAACGUCACCGGAGCAUGCCUGGAGCAAGUUCUUCCAGAACGCACAAAUGAAGGCAACUAAGCGGAGGGAGCUCAAUCUACUGCACAUACAAGCUUUCAUCCAAGAAUCGAUUCUCAGGUGCGCGGACGGCGAGCGCCGGCGCCCCGGCACUCAGCGCCGCCGACACCACACCGUCUGUCCUACGGCGCUUUUGUAGUCGUCAUAUUCUUACUAUUACCCUUUUAUACAUAAAUCAGAAAAUAUACAAUAAAAACACAAAAGGCAAU